UACUAGAAGCCUGUUCUAUCGCCUGCAACA
rnacentral:piRNA from 1 species